CACAUAUCAAACCCACAUAAACAGUCGUCAGACCAAAAACCUAGCAUAGCGGUGAGAGACAACAUACUGGCACUACAACGUACAUACAUAUGUACAUACAUACAUAUGCAUGGUGGAAAACAAUUUUAUGUGCUUGCAGUCAGGCAUAGAGUCAUUAUGGCUACUACUCAAGUCAGGCAGGUAUCACGUCAAUCGCAUGCGAAGUAUUUGAGAAAGAAGAGUGAAGCAAUGAAAGCACAGAAAUAACAAUUUUUUUACAUAUCGUAAUGUGCUGUGGCUACAGAAAGCUGGCAAACGAAAACAGUUCAACUAACGGCUGCCUAGCCUGAAUACUUAAAAAUAAAAUAAUAUUAAUGUAUGUAUUUAAUAUUCUAUAUUCCCAUAAGCGACCUGAAGAGAAAUGUAAAAAUAGAAAAUGCAUUGCACGAUUCUGGUGUGUCAGAUUUAUGAUUAGAAUAAUGUUUAAUAUUAUUAUGAAAAGCUCAUACAAAAAAAGGCUAAAAAAAUCAAUUCGGUAUUUCCCAAAUAAAUUCCUAAUCUAAUGCUUUCGACAGUUUAAUUAAUGCUCAUUUUCCGUAAUUACUGAAAUAACUCAUGUCCGAUAAUAAAUUAUAUUUAUUAGGAUUAUGUUGAUAAGAGAAAUGUGAAAAAAGCGCUGACUUCGACUACACUACAUCGAAGCUAUAAUACCUAACUGGUGCAUUUCUUAAAAUCGUUUCUUUGGACAAUAAACUUUGCGGAAUUUGCCAGAUAUCCCAGAUCAGAUCAGAUCAGCAGACCAGAUUUUGAGGAGGAAAGUGGAUGUGCAAAAUUUCAGACCGAUAUCUCAAAAACUGAGGAACUAGUUCGCGUAUAUAGUCUCCGACGUUUUCUCUAUGAGUUACAAACUUCGUGGCUCACUUAAUAUACCCAGUUCGGGGUAUAAAAUUAUGAUUAUAAACACUAACCUACUAAUAUUAGCCUGAUAAAUAAAGUUCCUUGUUAUUGAUUUUAA